rnacentral:rRNA from 1 species
UACGUAGGGUGCAAGCGUUAAUCGGAAUUACUGGGCGUAAAGCGUGCGCAGGCGGUCUUGCAAGACAGAUGUGAAAUCCCCGGGCUUAACCUGGGAACUGCAUUGGUGACUGGCAGGCUUUGAGUGUGGCAGAGGGAGGUAGAAUUCCACGUGUAGCAGUGAAAUGCGUAGAGAUGUGGAGGAAUACCGAUGGCGAAGGCAGCCUCCUGGGCCAACACUGACGCUCAUGCACGAAAGCGUGGGGAGCAAACAGG